GGCGCGGCUGGCGCGCGCGCAUCGUCUGCUGGAAGCGGGCGACGAUGCGCUCGCCGCCGAAGCCGCGAUGCUCGACGCGUUGUCCACGCUGC
rnacentral:tRNA from 1 species